rnacentral:rRNA from 1 species
AUACCGCAUAAGACCACAGCACCGCAUGGUGCAGGGGUAAAAAUUCCGGUGGUAUGAGAUGGACCCGCGUCUGAUUAGGUAGUUGGUGGGGUAACGGCCUACCAAGCCGACGAUCAGUAGCCGACCUGAGAGGGUGACCGGCCACAUUGGGACUGAGACACGGCCCAAACUCCUACGGGAGGCAGCAGUGGGGAAUAUUGCACAAUGGGGGAAACCCUGAUGCAGCGACGCCGCGUGAGCGAUGUAGUAUUUCGGUAUGUAAAGCUCUAUCAGCAGGGAAGAAAAUGACGGUACCUGACUAAGAAGCACCGGCUAAAUACGUGCCAGCAGCCGCGGUAAUACGUAUGGUGCAAGCGUUAUCCGGAUUUACUGGGUGUAAAGGGAGCGUAGACGGAGUGGCAAGUCUGAUGUGAAAACCCGGGGCUCAACCCCGGGACUGCAUUGGAAACUGUCAAUCUGGAGUACCGGAGAGGUAAGCGGAAUUCCUAGUGUAGCGGUGAAAUGCGUAGAUAUUAGGAGGAACACCAGUGGCGAAGGCGGCUUACUGGACGGUAACUGACGUUGAGGCUCGAAAGCGUGGGGAGCAAACAGGAUUAGAUACCCUGGUAGUCCACGCCGUAAACG